rnacentral:rRNA from 1 species
UACGGGGGGGGUAAGCGUUGUUCGGAAUUACUGGGCGUAAAGGGCUCGUAGGCGGCCAACUAAGUCAUACGUGAAAUCCCUCAGCUUAACUGGGGAACUGCGUGUGAUACUGGAUGGCUUGGAUUGGGAGAGGGAUGCGGAAUUCCAGGUGUAGCGGUGAAAUGCGUAGAUAUCUGGAGGAACACCGGUGGCGAAGGCGGGUCUCUGGACAGUUCCUGACGCUGAGGCACGAAGGUCAGGGGAGCAAACGGG